AUGGGCCAAUUUAUUGAAUAACAAAAAAAUGUAAACAAAAAGUUGGAGGAAAAUGUCAGGUAGUAGAAAAUAAGAAAAAACAAAAUGAAAACUUAAAAAAAUUGGAUCUAUCUAGAUUGUGGAAGGAGACCAAACUUGCACCGAUAGAAUAUGAUUUUUGAGAUUAGGAAAGUGAGCUUCCUCUUUAGAUCGUCGCCGGUCAGAGCUACUCCGUCAUCUAUUAGCUCAUGUGUGCUUUUCCAUCUCACUGUAUCACACUGGAAAUAAGAUUUUGAUUAGAAUUGUAUUUACAUCUAGAAUCAUUCCGUCAACAAUCGUAUGUUUCGUGAAAUGCUCUAUUUUGCGUCGAUGUUACUCUAUUUGGGAUGGUCAACUAAGAUUUUGUUAUUUUGCUUGGUGAUUGAGAGUUUAUGAUGUGGUUGUAUAAGUUUUUAUGUUCUUUGCAAUGUCAGAUUGCUUAGAGGUUAUUUAAUGGAAGAAAUAUUUCCUGCAAGUAUAUUGUUGGCAAAGAUAAUUGCUUUAUAUGGAAUACUUAAGGUUAAUUCAGAUGGUGACAUAUAUUGCUAUUUGGUACUUGAGAAGCUGACACGUAAUUCUAUAGUAUGCAACCGAACGGUAUAAA